GAUGAACGCUAGCGACAGGCUUAACACAUGCAAGUCGAGGGGCAUCGCGGCGGUGGCGACACCGCUGGCGGCGACCGGCGCACUGGUGAGUAACACGUAUGCGACCUGCCCCCUACAGGGGAAUAACCCGCGGAAACGCGGCCUAAUGCCCCAUAGUCCCGUCAGGCCCAUGCCUUACGGGGGAAAGGUCCGCCGGUAGGGGAUGGGCAUGCGGCGCAUUAGCUGGUUGGCGGGGCAACGGCCCACCAAGGCUAUGAUGCGUAGGCGCCCUGAGAGGGGUGGAGGCAACAUUGGGAGCGAGAGACGGCCCAGACUGCUACGGGAGGGAGGAGGGGGGAAGAGUGCGCAAUGGGCGGAAGGCGGAGGCAGCAGCGCCGCGUGCGGGAUGACGGCCGUCGGGUUGUGAACCGGUUGCGCCUGUGAGGAAGGGUGAGUGACGGUAAGGGGUAAAGAAGCACCGGCUAACUACGGG
rnacentral:rRNA from 1 species